AUGCACGUUGAGCGCCUCGCAAGGGGAGCGGUAGACGGGUGAGUAACCCCUGGGAAUCUACCCAUCUCUACUGAACAUCUCCGGGAAACUGGAGAUAAUACCGUAUAUCUCCUUUUGCAGAAAGAUUUAUUGGAGAUGGAUGAGCCCGCGUUGGAUUUCCUAGUUGGUGGGGUAAUGGCCUACCAAGGCGACGAUCCAUAUCUGGUCUGAGAGGAUGAUCACCCACACUGGGAGUCAUACCCUCCCCAAAUUCCUAUGGGAAGCAACCGUGGGGAAUAUUGGACAAUGGGCGCAAGCCUGAUCCAGCCAUGCCGUAUGAGUGAUGAAGGCCCUAGGGUUGUAAAGCUCUUUCCACGGUGAAAAUAAUGACGGUAACGGUGUAAGAAGCCCCGGCUAACUUCUUGCCAGCCGCCGCGGUAAUACGAAGGGGGCUAGCGUUGUUCGUAACUACUGGGCGUAACUCGCAGGUAGGAUGAUUGUUAAUUUAGGGAUGAAAUCCCAGGUCUCAACCUCGGAAGUGCUUUUAAUCCUGCUAAUCUCAAGUCCAAGAUAGGUGAGUGGAAUUCCAAGUGCACAGGUGAAUUUUGUAGAUUUUAGAAGGAGCACCGUUGUCGAAGGCGGCUCACUGGCUCGCUACUGAUGCUGAGCUGCGAAA
rnacentral:rRNA from 1 species